UACGUAGGUGGCAAGCGUUGUCCGGAUUUACUGGGCGUAAAGAGCGCGCAGGCGGUCGAUUAAGUCGAGUGUGAAAGCCCCCGGCUCAACUGGGGAGGGUCACUUGAUACUGGUCGACUCGAAGGCAGGAGAGGGAAGUGGAAUUCCCGGUGUAGUGGUGAAAUGCGUAGAUAUCGGGAGGAACACCAGUGGCGAAGGCGACUUCCUGGCCUGUUCUUGACGCUGAGGCGCGAAAGCUAGGGGAGCAAACGGGG
rnacentral:rRNA from 1 species